AUUGAACGCUGGCGGCAUGCUUUACACAUGCAAGUCGAACGGUAACAGGCCGCAAGGUGCUGACGAGUGGCGCACGGGUGAGUAAUGCAUCGGAACGUGCCCAGUCGUGGGGGAUAACUACUCGAAAGAGUAGCUAAUACCGCAUACGAUCUAUGGAUGAAAGCGGGGGACCGUAAGGCCUCGCGCGAUUGGAGCGGCCGAUGUCAGAUUAGGUAGUUGGUGGGGUAAAGGCUCACCAAGCCAACGAUCUGUAGCUGGUCUGAGAGGACGACCAGCCACAAUGGGGAUGGAGCAACGCCCAGACUCCUAAGGGAGGCAGCAGUGGGGAAUUUUGGACCAUGGGCGGAAGCCUGAUCCAGCAAUGCCGCGUGGAGGAAGAAGGCCUUCGGGUUGUAAACUGCUUUUGUACGGAACGAAACGGCUCUGGUUAAUACCCGGGGCUAAUGACGGUACCGUAAGAAUAAGCACCGGCUAACUACGUG
rnacentral:rRNA from 1 species